rnacentral:rRNA from 1 species
AUUGAACGCUGGCGGCAGGCCUAACACAUGCAAGUCGAGCGAGCGGCGGACGGGUGAGUAAUGUAUGGGGACUGCCCGAUAGAGGGGGAUAACUACUGGAAACGGUGGCUAAUACCGCAUACUAUCGGAUAACCCAUAUGGGAUUAGCUAGUAGGUGGGGUAAAGGCUCACCUAGGCGACGAUCUCUAGCUGGUCUGAGAGGAUGAUCAGCCACACUGGGACUGAGACACGGCCCAGACUCCUACGGAGGCAGCAGUGGGGAAUAUUGCACAAUGGGCGCAAGCCUGAUGCAGCCAUGCCGCGUGUGUGAAGAAGGUCUUCGGAUUGUAAAGCACUGUCCUAUGGGAAGCGGUACCAUAGGAGGAAGCCCCGGCUAACUACGUGCCAGCAGCCGCGGUAAUAC